GAUGAACGCUGACAGAAUGCUUAACACAUGCAAGUCCACUUGAAUUUGGGUUUUUAACUUAGGUUUGGGUGGCGGACGGGUGAGUAACGCGUAAAGAACUUGCCUCACAGCUAGGGACAACAUUUGGAAACGAAUGCUAAUACCUAAUAUUAUGAUAAUAGGGCAUCCUAUAAUUAUGAAAGCUAUAAGCGCUGUGAGAGAGCUUUGCGUCCCAUUAGCUAGUUGGAGAGGUAACGGCUCACCAAGGCGAUGAUGGGUAGCCGGCCUGAGAGGGUGAUCGGCCACAAGGGGGCUGAGACACGGCCCGUACUCCGACGGGAGGCAGCAGUGGGGAAUAUUGGACAAUGGACCGAGAGUCUGAUCCAGCAAUUCUGUGUGCACGAUGAAGUUUUUCGGAAUGUAAAGUGCUUUCAGUUGGGAAGAAACAAAUGACGGUACCAACAGAAGAAGUGACGGCUAAAUACGUG
rnacentral:rRNA from 1 species